GCCACCUUGGUUACCGGCUAAACCAAAACGCAAUCCAAUCAAUCUAUUUAGUUCACAAUUCGAAUAUGUAGAAAUGGUUGAUAAUUUUGGUAGUCAAACAAAAAUAUAUGAUCCCCGAGUCUCGAAUAAACUGUUUGUUCUUUUGUGGUUACUAAACCAACUGCGGGAUCUGUGUCCGAUCGCCCACGCCAGCCGCCACUAUCAAGGCCAGCACCACCCAUACCCAAUAUAGAAACUAUUUUUUUUUAUACAAUCAAUCCGGUUUCAGAAGUAUCUGAGCAACAAACAGAAGCACCUUUAGUAAUGCCAGACAUUACAGAGAAUAGCAACGAGCGUCCUUAUGCAAGCACAUCGCCAGCUCCACCAAUCAACAUCUCAAAGUGAGCCUCAUAUUGCAUCGACAAAGGAGGCUAGCUUUGAUUUGUUGGGAUCAUUUUUGAUUCAGGUGAUUUGCGUUCAGCCAAUACCUGAUAUUUUGGCUGAAGUAGAUGAUAUAUUUGGAUCAAUUAGUGCACUGGCCACUGCAACGGGAGGAGAAUUUAAUUUAGACUUUGAUGCGUUUGCAUCAGCGACACCAGGUCCUAGAUUGACACCAUCGGUUCCAAUAAGUUUUCCACGAUCAUCUGCUGCGACACCAUCAUUUACAACUACAAAUGUUGGUGGUAACAGUCAAGUGCCAAGCAAAUAAACAUCACCACAACAAGUUAGUCCUCUAGAGACCACUUACGAGAUUUCUUUUUAAUUGAUUUGUUGGAAAUUAAUACGAAGGACGAUGAAACCAGACGGCUGCAAGCUGAAGUCGAAGAAGGAAAGCUCAAACAGGUUGAAGCUGCUGCUGCUUUAUUGAAUGCAUCAAGAACACCGCAACGUCAUCAUGUUGCCGAAGAUGAAAACGAUAAUGAAGAAUUUGCCAACGGUGAUGUUGGUGGUGAUGUGUUACAGGAUGCUUAGAAAUUGCUUGAAGAAGUCGUUGUUUUACCGAUAUUGGUGCCAUAUUUUUUUAAGGCAAUUUAUUAUUUCAUAUAAAUACAUAAUAUGUAAUUUUUUUUAUUUUUUUUGUUGACAUUCAGUCUCAGUUAAUUAUUAGUUUGAUGAAAUAAUAAAAAAUGAAAUAAAAACCAUAAGUUUGUUUUUCGUUUGUUUCCAUACUUCCAUUAAGGCUGCUGUUUACCGUUAAUUCGAUUAUGUAUAAUCUUUGAACAACAACAACAUAUUGAAAAGGUGCUUCCACCAAAUGUUUAUGGCUAGAUUUACCAUAAGAGUAACAAGAAACUAGUACAAAGUGACUAAAAACCUGGAACUUGAGGUGCAUAAUAAGUUCUCUGCAUAGUAAAUGAAGUGUAUCUGCGCUCAGCUUGACAAAUCAAUUUAUUUUUUUUUAUUAACAAAUAAUAGGGUAUGACGAUGUCAAUUUUAAAUGUUUGUAUAUCGCUCAGUUUUUGUGUUCUCAACCUUGAAAUGACUAAUCGAUAAUAUUUUAGAAACUAGAGACAUGCUCAAAGUAGGUACCUACUGAAAUCGAAUGAAGUGCUGUUUUUAAUUACUUAAUAAAAUUCAGCAAAUAAAUGAGCUUGGAUUAGUUAAGUUAGGCAUUUCAAAACUUUAGCUAUUUUUUUUAAGGUGGGGCUUUCAAUGCUAUAUGCAUUUUGGCCAAAACAAACACGUCUACUAACCCUUAACCUAGCCAGCUUCGUCCAGUUGCGUUCAUCUAGUUGCCUUUGUUUGCGUGUUGCAGAAGUGGUACCAAAAUGUCAUAUACAGUGAUACCUUCUUGAGAGGAAUUUACUGCUUGAAUGCCUUGGUAGUCAGAGGAGAAAUGUAGCAAGUUUGAUUGUUCUUUUGGUCUUUAGAACAGUCCUUUAUUUUUCAAAGUCAAAGGUGCAAUUA